GAUGAACGCUGGCGGCGUGCCUAAUACAUGCAAGCCGAGCGAACGGACGAGAAGCUUGCUUCUCUGAUGUUAGCAGCGGAAGGGUGAGUAACACGUGGAUAACCUACCUAUAAGACUGGGAUAAAUUCGGGAAACCGGAGCUAAUACCGGAUAAUAUUUUGAACCGCAUGGUUCAAAAGUGAAAGACGGUCUUGCUGUCACUUAUAGAUGGAUCCGCGCUGCAUUAGCUAGUUGGUAAGGUAACGGCUUACCAAGGCAACGAUGCAUAGCCGACCUGAGAGGGUGAUCGGCCACACUGGAACUGAGACACGGUCCAGACUCCUACGGGAGGCAGCAGUAGGGAAUCUUCCGCAAUGGGCGAAAGCCUGACGGAGCAACGCCGCGUGAGUGAUGAAGGUCUUCGGAUCGUAAAACGCUGUUAUUAGGGAAGAACAUAUGUGUAAGUAACUGUGCACAUCUUGACGGUACCUAAUCAGAAAGCCACGGCUAACUACGUG
rnacentral:rRNA from 1 species